CAUAAGUAAAUAUAAAAUAAAAAUAGCGUAUCCAUAAUAAUUAGAAUUUUAAGUUAUAACAGAGUAUUACUAAGAAACAUACUUAUUAACACAAACAAGUUAGGAAACCAAAUUCCAAACCAACAAAGAAUCUUUUAUAUUGUCGGGAUAGCUAUGACAAGGUAGGUGGAAAAAUAGUUUUCCGGUCGAUCUAGUUUUCCAAAUGCUGCCUCUAGACUGAUGACAAAGUUCUACCGGUGGUGCCGGUUAAUUCGUUUUACAGCUUUGACGCAAAGGUUAGCUAGUAAAGCCGGCGUGUCCCAAAUGACACACUGUGGCAGCCAAAUCGAAUGGCUUUAACAUAUUUUAAAUUAGUAGAUCUGUGUGAAAAAAGACUUAUAACAGAUUAAUUGUAACAUACUGACUGUUCACCUCUCCGUUAAUGAAAUAAUACGUGUAACAAUAAAUGUAGCAGUACAUUAGUACCAAUCUUAUACUCUUUGCUUGCAUUUUUACAUUACUGGUUUUAGGAAACCAAUAGGGCCUUUUUGAAAUCUGUAGACAGUUUGUCUGUCCGUCUGUGCAUUAACUCUUAGCAUACUCAGAAGGUCCUAGAGACUUUGGUACAUGGGCUCCUAUUGUGAAGGUAACAGGAAUUUUCUAGACAUCUGACAUCGUUCACUGAUACAAAAACAAUAGCACAAACUUUCGUGAUCUGCAAUCCGAUCUCUAACCUAGCACAUCAUUACAAACUAGGUUAAACAAAAUUAACAGAGCGUUGUGACAUGCGUAAGUCAGGAACCACAACUACCACCAUGUUGUGUGACAACUUUACUAACACUUUACUAAAACAUGCACUUAAUAAAAAACUAAACACAACACUAAUUAUUUAAACUGAAAUACAGAAUACAGGGAGCAAUAGAUCUGCAUUCACCAACCAACCACCAAAAACAAUCUUAGGUGUUAUAUGUUAUUAUGUGUUAAGCUAGUUAUUUACUUGCUGAAGAGAUCAGAUUGCAGAUCUCGAAACGUAGUAUUACUGAUUUUUUGGUAUCACUAAAAGAAAAUGUCUAGAAAAUCCAGUUUCCUUCACAAUCCUUCCAUCGUCAAAAAAACUUCAAAAAAAGGUCUCCUAUUGUUAAGAGAAAGAACGCUAUUAAAUUUGAGGUCAAAUAGUCAAAGACCACUCCGUCUAUCAGUUUAGCCGACCGAACGAUAUUUCUGUUUAUAGGAAGUUCCUAGAGACGUAAAAUUUGGUAAAUAGAUCCAAGGAAAGAGCUAGCUAAAUUGGUAUAUGAGUUUAAAAUAGGAAGGGCAGUUCGCCCGCCGGUGACCUCUGUUAUUACAUUCUGUCGGGUUCUUCGAGCCUCCAAAUACCAGUUUAUAUGUAUUUUUCUCAACAAAAACAUACAAGAAUGUACUCACACUCAUACUUAAUAAGUUUAAAGUAUAUCAUGCUUUCUCGUUGUGAUUGUCUCAUGAGUCAGGUACAUGUUUAAUUGCGAAGUAACACACCAACCUAUAUUAAGUAUUUCUUGCUUGGAGAAUGUUUCGGUGAAUGAGAUAAAAAGCUUCGUUGAAGUCAAUAAAAACUUUUAUAAAAAAAAAUAAAAAAAAAAAAACUUUUAUAAAAAAUUAAAACAGAAUAUAUUGUAAUUGUGUAUUGACACGAGCAUCUUCUGUAGACUUGCCCUUUUGAAACCCAUGCUGUGAACCGUUUCUGAAUUACAUUGUUACGAUUGAGAUACGACCUAAACCAUAUUUAGCAGUGUUUUAAAGAUAAAUGAUUGAGAUACGACCUAAACUAUAUUUAGCAGUGUUUUAAAGAUAAAUGAUUGAGAUACGACCUAAACCAUAUUUAGCAAAUAGAAAGAUAACUUGAGAAACGGACAGCAAGUGUGCGCUAGAGGCAAUCGUUGUUCAUUUUUGGAAAAACAUUCAAUGUUUUAACUUUUCCGGAAAAACGCCUCCGAAAAAAUUUAACUUAAUUAUGUGAGUAACAGCUGGCAAAAUGUAAUCAAAAAUCUUCUUAAAAAGUUUUAUUCCAAAGAAAUUAUGUACAGUAAAACAUUUAUUUGUAAUGUUUUUUUGAUUCCUGACACCUCCUUUUUAGACAUAGGGUAGAUGAAGAAGGAAGUACGCAUUGGGUUUUAUGUGUUGGCUGCACUGCCCAUGAUAGCGGUUGACCUUGCAAUUGAUCGGGAAUACCAGCUGAUAGAAUAGCGACUAGUAUUUUGUUUACUGUGUCUGCAACCACAGUGGAAUCACUUCAUAUUUCGCUGUCACUUAAAAUUGACUCUUAUUGUUGUUUUCUUAAUUAUUCUACCUGUUAGACUAUAAAUUAUUGCCCUUGGUUGUGACAUGUAACUGUUAUAAUCCGUGAGUGUCCAUUUAUGCUAAAUGGAAGCAUAAAAAAGCGCAAUUGUCGUUACUGGAGUAACAAAAUACUCACUGGUACACACGCAGUAUCAACAAAUGACGUCUUGGGUAAACCUGGCAAUUGUGAGAGACUGGAGAUCCCAAAAGCUACGGGCUUGAUGGCAGGAGCUAAAAUGGCAAGAGUUAUCAGAUAACGUGCGAUCCCAGGACAUGGAAACUACAUGGAAACUCAAAUAAAAUCUGCAUUCCCUCCAAACGUGGUUCCUUUUUUGCUUUGGAACCGUAAUGAGUGUCCUAAUUGUUGGAAUGGUUGUCGUUUACUUCUGUGGCUUCAAGCCCUGGAUGAGACGGUUUGAUAGACUUAUCCUUAAGGGAAAGGCGGAAGAAAAUGAAACAAACAAUGCAAUCAUAAACCCAGACAUCAUGCUAUACAUAUUCAUGUACCUGCCUUACUAUGUGUUGAAGUUCUUCGAUACAUACUCUGUCACGAACCUGCUUGGUAUAUUCAACAGGGCGAUAUAUUCGCUUUUGGGUCCUUUACGGAGAGUCAAGGCAAGAAAGUAAAAAGAUUCAUAUUUGUCAAGCCAUAUUUUACUGAGUAAAGAAACCCACCACCACUAAUUUAAUAUUAGGGCUGGUAAUUUUAACUAUAAAUUAAUUAUACAUGAUUACUAUUUUUGUCUUUAUAAGACUUUUAUAGGUUUUAUGAACCGUCUAAAAUAACAUGUAUUUUUAUUCAAAGUGGAACUGAAAAUGUAAGUUAUUUUAAAAUAAAAUAUUUAUAAAAUG